rnacentral:rRNA from 1 species
UACGGAGGGGGCUAGCGUUGUUCGGAAUUACUGGGCGUAAAGCGCACGUAGGCGGCUUUGUAAGUUAGAGGUGAAAGCCCGGAGCUCAACUCCGGAACUGCCUUUAAGACUGCAUCGCUUGAACGUCGGAGAGGUAAGUGGAAUUCCGAGUGUAGAGGUGAAAUUCGUAGAUAUUCGGAAGAACACCAGUGGCGAAGGCGACUUACUGGACGACUGUUGACGCUGAGGUGACGAAAGGCGUGGGGAGCAAACAGG